rnacentral:snRNA from 1 species
GUGCUUGCUUCGGCAGCACAUAUACUAAAAUUGGAACGAUAUGGAGAAGAUUAGCAUGGUCCCUGCGAAAGGAUGACAAGCAAAUUCAUGAAGUGUUCCAUAUUAAA